rnacentral:pre_miRNA from 1 species
GAGAUGUAUUGUUAACUAACCGUAGAUUUAAUGAUUGUUUAGAUUCUUGUCUAAAUUUGGUUGGUUAAUUUUACGUCUACAC